AGGAGCCGAAUGAAACAAAAGUUUCACGUUCGGUUUUGAAUUAGAGACGUUAAAUCAAAAUCAUGAAUCAACGUCGACUAUAAC
rfam:Vigna angularis cultivar Jingnong 6 chromosome 3, whole genome shotgun sequence.